rnacentral:rRNA from 1 species
GACGAACGCUGGCGGCGUGCCUAAUACAUGCAAGUAGAACGCUGAAGCGAGGAGCUUGCUCUUCUUGGAUGAGUUGCGAACGGGUGAGUAACGCGUAGGUAACCUGCCUUGUAGCGGGGGAUAACUAUUGGAAACGAUAGCUAAUACCGCAUAACAAUGGAUGACACAUGUCAUUUAUUUGAAAGGGGCAAUUGCUCCACUACAAGAUGGACCUGCGUUGUAUUAGCUAGUAGGUGAGGUAAUGGCUCACCUAGGCGACGAUACAUAGCCGACCUGAGAGGGUGAUCGGCCACACUGGGACUGAGACACGGCCCAGACUUCUUAGGGAGGCAGCAGUAGGGAAUCUUCGGCAAUGGGGGCAACCCUGACCGAGCAACGCCGCGAGAGUGAAGAAGGUUUUCGGAUCGUAAAGCUCUGUUGUAAGUCAAGAACGGGUGUGAGAGUGGAAAGUUCACACUGUGACGGUAGCUUACCAGAAAGGGACGGCUAACUACGUG